rnacentral:rRNA from 1 species
CAUUUUUUUAUUUUUAAAAGACCUUUUUCGGAAGGUAUGCUUAAAGAGGGGCUUGCGUCACAUUAGUUAGUUGGCAGGGUAAAGGCCUACCAAGACUAUGAUGUGUAGCUGGACUGAGAGGUUGAACAGCCACAUUGGGACUGAGACACGGCCCAAACUCCUACGGGAGGCAGCAGUAGGGAAUUUUCGGCAAUGGAGGAAACUCUGACCGAGCAACGCCGCGUGAACGAUGAAGUAUUUCGGUAUGUAAAGUUCUUUUAUUGAAGAAGAAAAAAUAGUGGAAAAACUAUCUUGACGAUAUUCAAUGAAUAAGCCCCGGCAAACUAUGUGCCAGCAGCCGCGGUAAUACAUAGGGGGCGAGCGUUAUCCGGAAUUAUUGGGCGUAAAGGGUGCGUAGGCGGUUUAAUAAGUCUAUAGUUUAAUUUCAGUGCUUAACACUGUCCUGCUAUAGAAACUAUUAGACUAGAGUGAGAUAGAGGCAAGUGGAAUUCCAUGUGUAGCGGUAAAAUGCGUAAAUAUAUGGAGGAACACCAGAGGCGUAGGCGGCUUGCUGGGUCUUUACUGACGCUGAGGCACGAAAGCGUGGGGAGCAAACAGGAUUAGAUACCCUGGUAGUCCACGCCGUAAACGAUGAGUACUAAGUGUCGGGAUUACUCGGUACUGAAGUUAACACAUUAAGUACUCCGCCUGAGUAGUACGUACGCAAGUAUGAAACUUAAAGGAAUUGACGGGACUCCGCACAAGCGGUGGAUCAUGUUGUUUAAUUCGAAGAUACACGAAAAACCUUACCAGGUCUUGACAUACUCUGCAAAGCUAUAGCAAUAUAGUGGAGGUUAUCAGAGAUACAGGUGGUGCAUGGUUGUCGUCAGCUCGUGUCGUGAGAUGUUAGGUUAAGUCCUAAAACGAGCGCAACCCUUGUCAUUAGUUGCCAGCAUGUCAUGAUGGGCACUUUAAUGAGACUGCCAAUGAAAAAUUGGAGGAAGGUGAGGAUCACGUCAAAUCAUCAUGCCCCUUAUGAUCUGGGCUACAAACGUGAUACAAUGGCUGUUACAAAGAGUAGCUGAAACGCAAGUUUAUAGCCAAUCUCAUAAAAGCAGUCUCAGUUCGGAUUGAAGUCUGCAACUCGACUUCAUGAAGUUGGAAUCGCUAGUAAUCGCGAAUCAGCAUGUCGCGG